CGAUGUGCACUGGGCGUCCGCGCGAGCGCGUGGGUGCCGCAGCAAACGCGGUAAGUGCACCGCCUGGGGAGUAUGCCCGCAAGGGUGAAACUCAAAGGAAUUGACGGGGGCCCGCACAAGCGGUGGAGCAUGUGGUUUAAUUCGAUGGUACGCGAGGAACCUUACCUGGGCUUGACACGCGCGGGGAGCGCCGGGAGACCGGCGCGCGUGGAGACACGACCGCGCGCAGGUGCUGCAUGGCUGUCGUCAG
rnacentral:rRNA from 1 species